rnacentral:rRNA from 1 species
GACGAACGCUGGCGGCGUGCUUAACACAUGCAAGUCGAACGGAAAGGCCCCUUUGGGGGUACUCGAGUGGCGAACGGGUGCGUAACACGUGAGUAACCUGCCCUUGACUUCGGGAUAACUUCAGGAAACUGGGGCUAAUACCGGAUAGGAAUCCUUGCUGCAUGGUGGGGGUUGGAAAGCUUCGGCGGUGUUGGAUGGACUCGCGGCUUAUCAGCUUGUUGGUGGGGUAGUGGCUUACCAAGGCUUUGACGGGUAGCCGGCCUGAGAGGGCGACCGGCCACAUUGGGACUGAGAUACGGCCCAGACUCCUACGGGAGGCAGCAGUGGGGAAUAUUGCACAAUGGGCGGAAGCCUGAUGCAGCAACGCCGCGGGCGGGAUGACGGCCUUCGGGUUGUAAACCGCUUUCAGCAGGGGCGAAGCUUGUGGUGACGGUACCUGCAGAAGAAGCACCGGCUAACUACGUG